CAAUAGCGUAGAUUUAAGUUGCUGCAGUUAAAAAGCUCGUAGUUGGAUUUCGGGUGGGAAUGGCCGGUCCGCCGUUUCGGUGUGCACUUGCUACGCCCACCUUGCUGCCGGGGACGUGCUCUUGAGUUCACGCUCGGGACACGGAGUCGGCGAGGUUACUUUGAGUAAAUUAGAGUGUUCAAAGCAGGCCUACGCUCUGAAUACAUUAGCAUGGAAUAACACGAUAGGACUCUGGCCUAUCUUGUUGGUCUGUAGGACCGGAGUAAUGAUUAAGAGGGACAGUCGGGGGCAUUCGUAUUUCAUUGUCAGAGGUGAAAUUCUUGGAUUUAUGAAAGACGAACUACUGCGAAAGCAUUUGCCAAGGAUGUUUUCAUUAA
rnacentral:rRNA from 1 species